rnacentral:misc_RNA from 1 species
CAGCCGCGUAAUUCCAGCUCCAAUAGCGUAUAUUAAAGUUGUUGCAGUUAAAAAGCUCGUAGUUGAAUUUCGGGAUUGGCGCAUCGGUCGUGCCUCACGGGGUAUGAACUGGUGCAGUCAAUUUCUCACCUUCUGGAGAACCGCGAUGUCCUUAAUUGGAUGCCGCGGGGAACCAGGACCUUUACUUUGAAAAAAUUAGAGUGUUUAAAGCAGGCAUUUUUGCUUGAAUACAUUAGCAUGGAAUAAUAAAAUAGGACGGCAUGGUUCUAUUUUGUUGGUUUCUAGGACCACCGUAAUGAUUAAUAGGGAUAGUUGGGGGCAUUAGUAUUCAAUUGUCAGAGGUGAAAUUCUUGGAUUUAUUGAAGACUAACUACUGCGAAAGCAUUUGCCAAGGAUGUUUUCAUUAAUCAAGAACGAAAGUUAGGGGAUCGAAGACGAUCAGAUACCGUCGUAGUCUUAACCAUAAACUAUGCCGACUAGGAAUCAGACGAUGUUAAUUUUUUAAUGACUCGUUCGGCACCUUAUG